AUGCCCCGUUUCGCCUCGACCUCGACCGAGGAGAACAAGCAGCACUGCUGCCUUCUUCAGUUCCGCUCGCACGCCACCUCGCCGGAGAACGUUGUCCUCGCCCGGAUCCCCGCGCCCUGCCAUCUUGUCCAUGCCGGCGAGUUCCUCCCGCGUCGUCGUCUUCUCUGCAUCAAGCCGCGCCGCCGUGCCAAGUCCCCUGCAUCGCGCCCAGCUGCCGGCGCUCGAACCUGCCUGCUUCCACGACCCGCGCUCGCCUCCAGAGGAAGAGUCAACGCACGAGCGUCUCGUGCGUGUUCCAGAUCCAGUGAACCGGCCCAGCCUCCCGAAGCCCAGCCGCUUCUUCGCUUCCAGCCCAGUGGCCCGAUCUUCGGUUUCAUUCCGGAGUUGUGA
rnacentral:rRNA from 1 species